UACGAAGGGGGGCUAGCGUUGCUCGGAAUUACUGGGCGUAAAGGGGCGCGUAGGCGGAUAUUUUAAGUUGGGGGGUGAAAUCCCGGGGCUCAACCUCGGAAUUUGCCUUCAAAAACUGGAUAUCUUGAGUUCGGGAGAGGUGAGUGGAACUCCGAGUGUAGAGGUGAAAUUCGUAGAUAUUCGGAAGAACACCAGUGGCGAAGGCGACUCACUGGCCCGAUACUGACGCUGAGGCGCGAAAGCGUGGGGAGCAAACAGG
rnacentral:rRNA from 1 species